AAAAAAGGUAAGCUACUAAGAGCGAAUGGUGGAUGCCUUGACUGGUAAAGGCGAUGAAGGACGUACUAGACUGCGAUAAGCUACGGGGAGCUGUCAAGAAGCUUUGAUCCGUAGAUUUCCGAAUGGGGCAACCCAAUGUAUAGAGAUAUACAUUACCUAUAUAGGAGCGAACGAGGGGAAUUGAAACAUCUUAGUACCCUCAGGAAAAGAAAUCAAUAGAGAUUGCGUCAGUAGCGGCGAGCGAAAGCGCAAGAGGGCAAACCCAGUGCUUGCACUGGGGGUUGUAGGACUGCAAUGUGCAAGAGGUGAGUUUAGCAGAACAUUCUGGAAAGUAUAGCCAUAGAGGGUGAUAGUCCCGUAUGCGAAAAACAAACCUUAGCUAGCAGUAUCCUGAGUAGGGCGGGACACGAGAAAUCCUGUCUGAAGCUGGGUCGACCACGAUCCAACCCUAAAUACUAAUACCAGAUCGAUAGUGCACAAGUACCGUGAGGGAAAGGUGAAAAGAACUGAGGUGAUCAGAGUGAAAUAGAACCUGAAACCAUUUGCUUACAAUCAUUCAGAGCCCUAUGUAGCAAUACAGGGUGAUGGACUGCCUUUUGCAUAAUGAGCCUGCGAGUUGUGGUGUCUGGCAAGGUUAAGCAAACGUGAAGCCGUAGCGAAAGCGAGUCUGAAUAGGGCGCUUAGUCAGAUGCUGCAGACCCGAAACGAAGUGAUCUAUCCAUGAGCAAGUUGAAGCUAGUGUAAGAACUAGUGGAGGACUGAACCCAUAGGCGUUGAAAAGCCCCGGGAUGACUUGUGGAUAGGGGUGAAAGGCCAAUCAAACUUCGUGAUAGCUGGUUCUCUCCGAAAUAUAUUUAGGUAUAGCGUUGUGUCGUAAUAUAAGGGGGUAGAGCACUGAAUGGGCUAGGGCAUACACCAAUGUACCAAACCCUAUCAAACUCCGAAUACCUUAUAUGUAAUCACAGCAGUCAGGCGGCGAGUGAUAAAAUCCGUCGUCAAGAGGGAAACAACCCAGACUACCAGCUAAGGUCCCUAAAUCUUACUUAAGUGGAAAACGAUGUGAAGUUACUUAAACAACCAGGAGGUUGGCUUAGAAGCAGCCAUCCUUUAAAGAAAGCGUAAUAGCUCACUGGUCUAGUGAUUUUGCGCGGAAAAUAUAACGGGGCUAAAGUAAGUACCGAAGCUGUAGACUUGCGCACAACUUAGAUUAUUUAAGUUUAGAAUAUGAGAAACUAAGUUAUAUGUUUAGUUAUAUUUUUACUGAUUUUUAUAGAGUAAAGAUAGAAAUAAAACUUAGUAAAAUCAGUAAAAAUAUUCUUAGACUAAAGUUAAGUAGUUUAAGUUGUGUGCAAGUGGUAGGAGAGCGUUCUAUUUGCGUCGAAGGUAUACCGGUAAGGAGUGCUGGAGCGAAUAGAAGUGAGCAUGCAGGCAUGAGUAGCGAUAAUUAAUGUGAGAAUCAUUAACGCCGUAAACCCAAGGUUUCCUACGCGAUGCUCGUCAUCGUAGGGUUAGUCGGGUCCUAAGUCGAGUCCGAAAGGGGUAGACGAUGGCAAAUUGGUUAAUAUUCCAAUACCAACAUUAGUGUGCGAUGGAAGGACGCUUAGGGCUAAGGGGGCUAGCGGAUGGAAGUGCUAGUCUAAGGUCGUAGGAGGUUAUACAGGCAAAUCCGUAUAACAAUACUCCGAGAACUGAAAGGCUUUUUGAAGUCUUCGGAUGGAUAGAAGAACCCCUGAUGCCGUCGAGCCAAGAAAAGUUUCUAAGUUUAGCUAAUGUUGCCCGUACCGUAAACCGACACAGGUGGGUGGGAUGAGUAUUCUAAGGCGCGUGGAAGAACUCUCUUUAAGGAACUCUGCAAAAUAGCACCGUAUCUUCGGUAUAAGGUGUGGUUCGCUUCGUAUUAGGAUUUACUCCGAAAGCGAAGAAACUUACAACAAAGAGUCCCUCCCGACUGUUUACCAAAAACACAGCACUCUGCUAACUCGUAAGAGGAUGUAUAGGGUGUGACGCCUGCCCGGUGCUCGAAGGUUAAUUGAUGGGGUUAGCAUUAGCGAAGCUCUUGAUCGAAGCCCGAGUAAACGGCGGCCGUAACUAUAACGGUCCUAAGGUAGCGAAAUUCCUUGUCGGUUAAAUACCGACCUGCAUGAAUGGCGUAACGAGAUGGGAGCUGUCUCAAAGAGGGAUCCAGUGAAAUUGUAGUGGAGGUGAAAAUUCCUCCUACCCGCG
rnacentral:rRNA from 1 species